UGACUCAUGGCUCAGAGGCUAAAGCAUCUGCUUGCAAUGCAGGAGACCUGAGUUCGAUCCCUGGGUCAG
rnacentral:tRNA from 1 species